rnacentral:misc_RNA from 1 species
GAAAAAUUAAUGGGAUUUCAGCCGAGACUUUGAACAAAUGCUUCUCUGCUUCUUGAUGCCGUACAUCUAAACAACAUUUUUUUCAGGCACAGAUUUUGCUUCUUUCAAUCGGAAAAACUUUAAAAUCUAAAACAAUUUCAUUUACUGUUUCCACCUCAAAUACAGAAUCAUCAUCCCAAAAAUAGAAACCCCAAAUAUAAAUAUACGUGUAUGUAGCAGGGCCAAUAUGCAAAAAGAAUGAACAGAAAUUUUGUUUAAUGUUUACUGAAACACUUGAACCUUUGAUGUCAUCUACAUCAAUCUUUGAACAGUGUUGAGCACUUUCCCUCUUCAGUUCAAGGGAAGGGAGGGGAAAGCAUGGACUUGAACCUAAUUGCCAGCAAGCAAUUAAACUUUUAAAAUGUACAUUUUUUUUUAUCAGUUCAAGUUCAUUACAAAACCAAAGAUGAACAAGAAGAUAAAUCAAAUAAAGCCGUUCCUACUAAAAAAAAAGUAAAAAGAAAAGAAAAGAAAAAGAGCAUCACGAAUUCUACCUCAGCUAUCAACUUCUACCAGAAGGAUUUGACAAUUAUGACUGUAUCACUUUAUUCUGCUUAACACAAGCAGGUGCCUUGAACUCCUGGCAUUUCCGCAUGGGUGCAACAUCAAUUGGCAUCAGAUUAUCAGCUGAAGGCUCCAUAGAAAACAAUGGCUUAUUGCGAGUUGUAGGAUUGCCCAUGUUCUUGUCAGUCAA